AUGAAGAACAGAUGCGGGACUACCGACCGCCUUGCGCAGCAAGGAUUAGCACACCCUGACGCGUUCCCAUUUUGUGCACAAGAGGAGACCCUAGACCACAUCCUGCUGACAUGUGUGUUUGCGAGGACCAUAUGGAGGACAUUGUGCACAACUCUCGGUAGACCGGACAGGACGCCCACAGUGCAUGACACUUUAAAGCUAUGGUGCGUUCAGAGGGCCACCGCGCAGUACAAGCCUAAGGAUCUAUGGGUCCUCUUCACUCUUACACCAUGGGAACUAUGGAAGCAUCAAAACUCAAUUGUUUUUGAUGGAGCAUCCCCCUCUCUUGCCAUGGUGGCUGCGAGGGUAGCGAAAGAAAGAAGAAGUUGGCAAGUGGCAACAGGUAGGAUUGUUCAAAGGGGAACUUGA
rnacentral:rRNA from 1 species